GGCGGAGUGAGAGCAAGCCACAGCUCGGGGGCGCGAUAGAAACUUUUAAUUACGCGUCAGGGACUUCGUACAGUGUAACAGCUACAUCAAGAAAGAAAAACUCAUUUUUCAAAAAUGCUGAUGGAGACAGUGGCAGAGGACCCAGACUCGCCCAUUCCCCGGUCACUGGGAACCCACUGCAGCUGAACUGUUAGCUUUACCCUCUCUAGCGCUGAAAGACAAGAGCUCGUUUGUUCCACAGAGGCUCACUGCGUGGCCAUCACCGUGCACCAGCCACCCCAGGCCCUGAGGACGGAGAGUGAAUAAACAAGCUCAAAUCCUACCCUUAGAAAGUUUUCCGUUCUACUGGGGGAACACAGACAAUCCAAUGAAAAGCAAAAGAUAUAGCGAUGUCAGAAGGUGAUGUGUGCCCUCUGUAGAUAAAGCAGGAAAGGGAGACAGGGAAUGCCGAGUGUUGGGAAUGCAGGGGUUGCCGUUUUAAACACGGUGGUCAUGGAAGCCUCUCCAAGAAGGCUGAAGUUUGAGCAAAGACCUGAAGGAGGGUGCAAGCCCUACGGAUCUGUGGAAAGAACUUUCCAAGCAGAGGUAACAUCCUAUGCAAAGGCCUGGAGGCAGGAGCGUGCAUUAAGCCUUUGAGGGCAGCAAGGCCUGAGUGCCUGGAACAGAGCGAGCAGGGAACAAGAGUAGACGAAGUCCGAGAGGGUCAGCAAAAACCGAGACAAAGUGACCACCGCCUCACCCGUAUCCUGUUUCUCCUGAGAAGGAAGCAUCUUGCGGCCACUGGGAGGUGGCAUCUGGCCGGGAGCUGCCAGCCUCCAUGGGCCUGUCUGCACUGGCCC